GUGGGGAAUAUUGGACAAUGGGCGAAAGCCUGAUCCAGCCAUGCCACGUGUGUGAAGAAGGUCUUCGGAUUGUAAAGCACUUUAAGUUGGGAGGAAGGGCAGUAAGUUAAUACCUUGCUGUUUUGACGUUACCGACAGAAUAAGCACCGGCUAACUUCGUGCCAGCAGCCGCGGUAAUACGAAGGGUGCAAGCGUUAAUCGGAAUUACUGGGCGUAAAGCGCGCGUAGGUGGUUUUGUAAGUUGGAGGUGAAAUCCCCGGGCUCAACCUGGGAACUGCCUCCAAAACUGCAUGACUAGAGUACGGUAGAGGGUAGUGGAAUUUCCUGUGUAGCGGUGAAAUGCGUAGAUAUAGGAAGGAACACCAGUGGCGAAGGCGACUACCUGGACUGAUACUGACACUGAGGUGCGAAAGCGUGGGGAGCAAACAGGAUUAGAAACCCCGGUAGUCC
rnacentral:rRNA from 1 species